UACGUAGGGCGCAAGCGUUGUCCGGAAUUAUUGGGCGUAAAGAGCUCGUAGGCGGCCAGUUGCGUCCGCUGUGGAAAUCCCGGGGCUUAACCCCGGGCGUGCAGUGGAUACGGGCUGGCUAGAGGCAGGCAGGGGGAGAACGGAAUUCCCGGUGAUGAGCGGUGAAAUGCGCAGAUAUCGGGAGGAACACCGGUGGCGAAGGCGGUUCUCUGG
rnacentral:rRNA from 1 species